rnacentral:rRNA from 1 species
AUUGAACGCUGGCGGCAGGCCUAACACAUGCAAGUCGAGCGAGCGGCGGACGGGUGAGUAAUGUCUGGGAAACUGUCUGAUGGAGGGGGAUAACUCCUGGAAACGGUAGCUAAUACCGCAUACAAUAUGCUGUGCCCAGAUGGGAUUAGCUGGUAGGUGGGGUAAAGGCUCACAUAGGCGACGAUCCCUAGCUGGUCUGAGAGGAUGACCAGCCACACUGGGACUGAGACACGGUCCAGACUCCUACGGGAGGCAGCAGUGGGGAAUAUUGCACAAUGGGCGCAAGCCUGAUGCAGCCAUGCCGCGUGUAUGAAGAAGGCCUUCGGGUUGUAAAGCACUUUCAGCGGGGAGGCGUUACCCGCAGAAGAAGCACCGGCUAACUCCGUGCCAGCAGCCGCGGUAAUAC